UACGGAGGUUCCUAGCGUUGUUCGGAAUUACUGGGCGUAAAGGGAGCGCAGGCGGAUCGUUAAGUCUAAAGUGGAAUCCCGGGGCUCAACCUCGGACUUGCUUUGGAUACUGGCGGUCUUGAGUUCGUGAGAGGAAAGCGGAAUUCAGGGUGUAGCGGUGAAAUGCUUAGAUAUCCUGAGGAACACCAGUGGCGAAAGCGGCUUUCUGGCACGAAACUGACGCUGAGGCUCGAAAGCGUGGGGAGCGAACGGG
rnacentral:rRNA from 1 species